CCCAGACAGCCAGGAUGUUGGCUUAGAAGCAGCCAUCAUUUAAAGAAAGCGUAAUAGCUCACUGGUCGAGUCGGCCUGCGCGGAAGAUGUAACGGGGCUAAACCAUGCACCGAAGCUGCGGCAGCGACGCUGAUGCGUUGUUGGGUAGGGGAGCGUUCUGUAAGCCUGUGAAGGUGGCCUGUGAGGGUUGCUGGAGGUAUCAGAAGUGCGAAUGCUGACAUAAGUAACGAUAAAGCGGGUGAAAAGCCCGCUCGCCGGAAGACCAAGGGUUCCUGUCCAACGUUAAUCGGGGCAGGGUGAGUCGACCCCUAAGGCGAGGCCGAAAGGCGUAGUCGAUGGGAAACGGGUUAAUAUUCCCGUACUUGGUGUUACUGCGAAGGGGGGACGGAGAAGGCUAUGUUGGCCGGGCGACGGUUGUCCCGGUUUAAGCGUGUAGGUGUGUGUUCCAGGUAAAUCCGGUUCACUUUAACACUGAGGCGUGACGACGAGGCACUACGGUGCUGAAGCAACAAAUGCCCUGCUUCCAGGAAAAGCCUCUAAGCAUCAGGUAACAUCAAAUCGUACCCCAAACCGACACAGGUGGUCAGGUAGAGAAUACCAAGGCGCUUGAGAGAACUCGGGUGAAGGAACUAGGCAAAAUGGUGCCGUAACUUCGGGAGAAGGCACGCUGACACGUAGGUGAAGUGAUUUACUCA
rnacentral:rRNA from 1 species